UACGUAGGAUGCAAGCGUUAUCCGGAUUUACUGGGUGUAAAGGGAGCGCAGGCGGGACUGCAAGUUGGAUGUGAAAUACCGUGGCUUAACCACGGAACUGCAUCCAAAACUGUAGUACUUGAGUGAAGUAGAGGCAAGCGGAGUUCCGAGUGUAGCGGUGAAAUGCGUAGAUAUUCGGAGGAACACCAGUGGCGAAGGCGGCUUGCUGGGCUUUAACUGACGCUGGGGCUCGAAAGUGUGGGGAGCAAACAGGAUUAGAUACCCUGGUAGUCCACACUGUAAACGAUGAUAGCUAGGUGUGGGGGGUCUGACCCCUUCCGUGCCGGAGUUAACGCAAUAAGCUAUCCACCUGGGGAGUACGACCGCAAGGUUGAA
rnacentral:rRNA from 1 species